rnacentral:misc_RNA from 1 species
CCUAGAGUUUGUGGACUUCGGUCUGCUACCUCUUACCCAUGUCUUUUGAGUACCUUCGUUUCCUCGGCGGGUCCGCCCGCCGGUUGGACAACAUUCAAACCCUUUGCAGUUGCAAUCAGCGUCUGAAAAAAACUUAAUAGUUA